rnacentral:lncRNA from 1 species
GAAAAUCUGGUGAUCAUGGUCAUUUUCUCAUUUUCUGGUAAGAACUCUCUUCCUGGCUUGUGGAUGGCGCCCUUCUUGCUGUGUACUCACAUGGCCUUUCCUCAGUGUGUGCCUCUGGAGAGAGGGAGCAAGCUCUCCGGUGUUUCCUUAUAAGGGCACUAAUUCAAUCACGAAGGCCUCACCCUCAUGACCUCAUCUAGCUGUCAUCACCUCCCAAAGGCCCCAUCUCCAAAUACAUUGGGAGUUGUGGCUUCAGUGGAAGAAUUCUAAGGAGAUACAACAUUCAGUCCAUAACAAAGGUAAAACAUUAGAAAUUUAAAUAGCACAUUUAUUAAUGCUAAAGAUUCAAUUCAAUAGGAAGCAUGAUGAUCCUUAAUUUGUAUGCACCCAAUAACAGCUGCAAAAUAUAUAAGGGAAAUGUUGACGGAUCUAAAAGGAGAAAUAGACAGAUCCACAGUAAUAGUUGUCCUUUUGUAGGUGACUUUGCUGUGAAGCUUUCAUUUGCAAUAGCAGAAACUAAAUCACUAUCCUAAGUUAAGAUUUUCCUUUGGCUUCUGGUAGAACUUUUCAAAUUUUUAUUCUAUGUUGCUGAUUUGAAUUCUUAUGUUAUUGUGUUUACUGUUCAUUGCUCCUAUCAAAGUUUUGAAAUGUGGCAGUCAUGUUUGAAACACCCCUAUACUCUUUCCUUAUCUUAGCUUGUUACUGAUGAUUAGGGUUUUCGUUUUAUAGAUUGUGUCCUCUUGAAUCUUCAUUAAUAUGAAAUUUUCUCAAGUUUCAUGCAGUUAAUAUGAAUUACAGCAAUUUCCUCAGAUGCUUCUGGGGUUGAUGUCCCCCAACCUAGUAGCCUUUCUGGAGUGACCUCAGCCUUCAGCCUGCUUGCUGGGGCUGCUGCCCUUGAAGGAACCCCGCUGGGCCAGCAUCUCAUGAUUUUGACCUCAAGAUGAGCCCUUGACCUUCAAACCGGGGAAGUCAAUGGGGACGUGGCUCACCAAUGAAUUCGAUCUCAACAUUAACAUGUAAAAACCCCGCAUUCCGAAAUCCAAGCUCUAACACCCAGAGGAAGCAGGGAAAUGCAACACAGGACCUGACAUUUUGCAUUGACUGGAUGCCCUACUGCGGAGCAAGAAUCAAAGGAGAAUUCCAGAAUAAAUUUUUCUAAAGCCUCUAGCUGACUUACCAUCAACAAUCCUACUUUCAGUGUUCACAUUAAAUUGAAAAAACAUCUAACUUGCCACGUUUCACUUUUUUUUUUAGGAACUUUAUAAGGUAAUAGUAGGAUUAGAGAGAAAUAGAACCUGCAUUCAUGUGGAUUGUUUUACUGCCAGUUUCAAAUCCUUGCCUGGUUCUUGCAAC